GACGGACGCUGGCGGCGUGCUUAACACAUGCAAGUCGAAUGGUAAGGCCCUUCGGGGUACACGAGUGGCGAACGGGUGAGUAACACGUGGGUGAUCUGCCCUGCACUUCGGGAUAAGCCUGGGAAACUGGGUCUAAUACCGGAUAGGACUCCGGACUGCAUGGUCUGGGGUGGAAAGCUAUUGCGGUGUGGGAUGGGCCCGCGGCCUAUCAGCUUGUUGGUGGGGUGAUGGCCAACCAAGGCGACGACGGGUAGCCGGCCUGAGAGGGUGACCGGCCACACUGGGACUGAGAUACGGCCCAGACUCCUACGGGAGGCAGCAGUGGGGAAUAUUGCACAAUGGGCGCAAGCCUGAUGCAGCGACGCCGCGUGAGGGAUGACGGCCUUCGGGUUGUAAACCUCUUUCAGCAUCGACGAAGCGAAAGUGACGGUAGGUGCAGAAGAAGGACCGGCCAACUACGUGCCAGCCGCCGCCGUAA
rnacentral:rRNA from 1 species